AACGUAGGAGACAAACGUUAUCCGGAGUUACUGGGCGUAAAGGGCGUGUAGGCGGUUUGUUAAGUCUGGCGUGAAAGCUCUCGGCUAAACCGGGAGAGGUCGUUGGAUACUGGCAAACUAGAGGACGGUAGAGGCGUGUGGAAUUCCGGGUGUAGUGGUGAAAUGCGUAGAGAUCCGGAGGAACACCAGUGGCGAAGGCGACACGCUGGGCCGUACCUGACGCUAAAGCGCGGCAGCAUGGGGAGCAAACGGG
rnacentral:rRNA from 1 species